CCUACGGGGGGCAGCAGUGGGGAAUAUUGGACAAUGGGGGGAACCCUGAUCCAGCCAUGCCGCGGGUGUGAAGAAGGCCCUCGGGUUGUAAAGCACUUUCAGUGAGGAAGAACGCCUGGUGGUUAAUACCCAUCAGGAAAGACAUCACUCACAGAAGAAGCACCGGCUAACUCCGUGCCAGCAGCCGCGGUAAUACGGAGGGUGCGAGCGUUAAUCGGAAUUACUGGGCGUAAAGCGCGCGUAGGUGGCUUGAUAAGCCGGUUGUGAAAGCCCCGGGCUCAACCUGGGAACGGCAUCCGGAACUGUCAAGCUAGAGUGCAGGAGAGGAAGGUAGAAUUCCCGGUGUAGCGGUGAAAUGCGUAGAGAUCGGGAGGAAUACCAGUGGCGAAGGCGGCCUUCUGGACUGACACUGACACUGAGGUGCGAAAGCGUGGGUAGCAAACAGGAUUAGAUACCCGGGUAGUC
rnacentral:rRNA from 1 species